rnacentral:rRNA from 1 species
CCGGCAGUAAAGGGUGAUAGCCCCGUAUCCGAAGGUGUUAGUGUUGUGAACUCGACGAGUAGGGCGGGACACGUGUUAUCCUGUCUGAAUAUGGGGGGACCAUCCUCCAAGGCUAAAUACUCCUGAUUGACCGAUAGUGAACCAGUACCGUGAGGGAAAGGCGAAAAGAACCCCGGCGAGGGGAGUGAAAUAGAACCUGAAACCGUGUACGUACAAGCAGUGGGAGCCCCACCACCAAAGCAUUUUCUGGUGUUGAGGACAACUUUGAAGUGACAUUCAACACGCGUUGGCGGAGCGUUUUUUGCGACGCC